UCGUGGAGUGAUUUGUCUGCUUAAUUGCGAUAACGAACGAGACCUUAACCUGCUAAAUAGCCAGGCUAGCUUUGGCUGGUCGCCGGCUUCUUAGAGGGACUAUCGGCUCAAGCCGAAGGAAGUUUGAGGCAAUAACA
rnacentral:rRNA from 1 species